UCUCGGGCCAAGGUAGAGGUGUCCUGCUGCACCGACCCGUGGUAACGCACCGGCCAGACCACGCAACCGAACCAUUUCAGCUGGGCUAAUUGCACACAGGUGUUGCUGAUAGCUAUGGUAGCUUUAGGAGACGGGCGAUCCUCUCUCUGACAAGUAGGAGUCACCUCAAUUUAAGUUUCUUAAGAGUAAGCAAACGCCCCCCCCCCUCAUUACCACUUUCUUUACCAAGAUAAUAAUGAGGACACCCCCCCCAUUUCCCCUCUCCUAAAUAGUUCAUGAGAAGGCAACAGGUCCUCCACCUCUACAGAAGGAUUUUGCAAGCAAUUCGACAGGUUCCAAAUGAUUCUGAUCGCAAAUACCUGAAGGACUGGGCAAGGGAAGAAUUUAAAAGGAACAAAGGUGCUACCGAAGAGAUCUUUUGGCUGGAUGUUGGUGACUCACACAUUGGUAGGCAGAAAUGAGGACGGUAGUUCCAAGCCAGCCCCAGACCAAAAAAAAGCUCUCAAGACCACAUCUCAACCAAUAGAAAGCUGGAUUUUGAUCAAGAUGAACCUCUCCGGCAGAUGGUGGUAUACACCUAUCAUCCCAGCUUUUCCCCACAUCUGCUGAAAGUUUCCAGCCUCAAUUGAAACAUGACCUACAAGACAGCCGUACUGCUGAUAGUUCUCUGUCUUUGGAAAGGCCAGCUGGGGCAUUUGCUUAUUUCAGCCCACAGCACAGAGGAAAACACACACCAAGCCCGAAAAACCAGACUUAAUACAGCUAUUGCAAAUAAAACACUAUUGCAAAACCA